CCUACGGGAGGCAGCAGUGGGGGAUAUUGCACAAUGGGGGGAACCCUGAUGCAGCGACGCCGCGUGGGUGAAGAAGCGCCUCGGCGCGUAAAGCCCUGUCAGCAGGGAAGAAAAUGACGGUACCUGAAGAAGAAGCCCCGGCUAACUACGUGCCAGCAGCCGUGGUAAUACGUAGGGGGCAAGGGUUAUCCGGAUUUACUGGGUGUAAAGGGAGCGUAGACGGCGAUGCAAGUCUGAAGUGAAAGGCGGGGGCCCAACCUCCGGACUGCUUUGGAAACUGGAUGGCUGGAGUGCAGGAGAGGUAAGUGGAAUUCGUAGUGUAGCGGUGAAAUGCGUAGAUAUUAGGAGGAACCCCAGUGGCGAAGGCGGCUUACUGGACUGUAACUGACGUUGAGGCUCGAAAGCGUGGGGAGCAAACAGGAUUAGAUACCCCUGUAGUC
rnacentral:rRNA from 1 species